UUGAAACAACUUAAAUGUUGUUAUGUGAAGCUUAUUGGAUUCGAGUACUUCAUGGUUUAAAAAAAUAUCAAGUAGAGAAGAACCAACUUAUAAGGAGAUUUUACUGCCCUGACAUGAAUUGCUGGUAGGUUGUAUAUUUUUGCCUUUUGGUAUAAUGUUAUUUAUUAUUAAAUUGUUGUCUUGUUAUAUUAUAUUGCUAAUGAUAUCUUGUGUAUUUUGUAUCAUAGGUUGAUGGGGAUUGGCUUCUGGCUGGCUUUUUGUUUUAUUUUUUUAUUUUUA